rnacentral:rRNA from 1 species
GACGAACGCUGGCGGCGUGCUUAACACAUGCAAGUCGAACGGAAAGGCCCUGCUUUUGUGGGGUGCUCGAGUGGCGAACGGGUGAGUAACACGUGAGUAACCUGCCCUUGACUUUGGGAUAACUUCAGGAAACUGGGGCUAAUACCGGAUAGGAGCUCCUGCUGCAUGGUGGGGGUUGGAAAGUUUCGGCGGUUGGGGAUGGACUAGCGGCUUAUCAGCUUGUUGGUGGGGUAGUGGCUUACCAAGGCUUUGACGGGUAGCCGGCCUGAGAGGGUGACCGGCCACAUUGGGACUGAGAGACGGCCCAGACUCCUACGUGAGGCAGCAGUGGGGAAUAUGGCACAAUGGGCGGAAGCCUGAUGCAGCAACGCCGCGUGCGGGAUGACGGCCUUCGGGUUGUAAACCGCUUUCGCCUGUGACGAAGCGUGAGUGACGGUAAUGGGUAAAGAAGCACCGGCUAACUACGUG